rnacentral:tRNA from 1 species
GGACCCGUAUUUCAACGGAUAGAAUGGCGCCCUCCGAAGGCGCAGAUGCAGGUUCGAUUCCUGCCGGGUCCACCA